rnacentral:lncRNA from 12 species
AUGGCCCCCGGGUUGCAGAAGCAAGUGUCACACGGACGACAGUCCCUGGCCCAAAUCCAUGCCCAGAGGCCGGGGAGCAGGGCUCCUGGGCAGUUGCGACUGUCUUCCCCACCCAGAGUACUCACUCCCAAGUCUGAACAGCAGCUACACUUACCAGCUCUCCGCUGCUCCAGGCUCCACCUAUUUUUCCACAGAGCUGCCAGAGGGACCUGGUUACUGGUCGGAAUUCCUCCACUGCAGCCCAUCCCAGGACAAAAUCCGAGGCAGUCCAAGGCUGCAUUCGAAGGCCUGGGCGUGGAUCAGCCCCCUCCCUGCACGCCGACAGCUCGUUUCCUACCCACGACAUCUAUCUUCAUGGAGUCUACAGACCCUCUUUGGGAUGAGGGAUCAUAGGAGAACUAUUGACUCUUUUUAAGCAAUAUCAUGGCUGGAUUCGUGUUUUAGGAUAAUCUCCCUGGCUCCUGUGUGGGGUGGAUUCAGAAGGUAGGAAAUAUCUAUGUAUAUUGUUUAAACGCUUGUCAUGUUAAUGUAACUUAUUAAUCCCUAGGCUAUCUCCCGCACUAGACUCAAUAUAGGGAGCAUACUUAUUAAUCACUGUGUCCUAGUGCCUAGCUCAGUUUGGUAGAAAGUAAGCACUUACUGCAUUUUUUUAAAUGAAUGGCUAUAGUUUUUGGCACUAUGCUAGAUAGACACUGAGGCUGAGCAAGUCAGAUGCAGUUCCUGUUCUCAUGCAGUUAGCAGACUAGUGAUCAUGAGUAGCCACUUUAUACAUGUUUAUGCACUGACUAAAUGAAUAUUAUAAAUAAGAGAGAGAGUGUCAAAGAACACAAUUGGGGUGGGGUCUGGAAGUCUGUAUUUUGAACUAGUUCCUUGACUACUUCUGAUGUCCAGAAGCUGGUAUUUGGGAAUCACUGUGCUGUCAAUCACAGAUGAUGUGUCUUCAAUUGGCCACCUGACAUCACAGCCCCAACUUUCAUAUACUGGCUCUUCUUGACUCUUGCCACUUGGGACCUUGAAGCCCCUGGUCUCACUGCACCUGAGCCACCAGCCCACUUUCCUGAUCCUGUUAGAAUCCUCUGAACUGAGCUUGGAGCACUGUGGGUACUAUAUAGCACAAAUCCUAAUGGGAACCAUAUCUACUUGACACUGGUGAGAUGUUUGCUUCUUGUUCCCACCUCUCAGCACCUCCUCCCAAAACACUCAUGACUCCCUCAUGCAUUUCUGAGUUUACAAGAUUGUCUCUCAAGAACUGCUUGAAGACAGCUAUGUGGUAAAGCCCAUUUAUGUUUUGAUGUAGAUUUUGUACACAUUAAAUCUCUGUUUUGUGUUUGGUGUGAAACUAAAAAGAAGGAAAAGGGGGUUGAGGGAGGAGAAAAAGGAGGAGGAGGGAAAG